rnacentral:rRNA from 1 species
AGUGAACGCUGGCGGUAGGCCUAACACAUGCAAGUCGAGCGCCCAGCAAUGGGAGCGGCGGACGGGUGAGUAACACGUGGGAAUGUACCUUUCGGUGCGGAACAACUCAGGGAAACUUGAGCUAAUGCCGCAUACGCCCUUACGGGGAAAGAUCUAUCGCCGAAAGAUCAGCCCGCGUUGGAUUAGCUUGUUGGUGAGGUAAUGGCUCACCAAGGCGACGAUCCAUAGCUGGUUUGAGAGAACGACCAGCCACACUGGGACUGAGACACGGCCCAGACUCCUACGGGAGGCAGCAGUUGGGAAUCUUGGACAAUGGGGGAAACCCUGAUCCAGCCAUGCCGCGUGAGUGAUGAAGGCCUUCGGGUUGUAAAACUCUUUCGACGGGGACGAUAAUGACGGUACCCGUAGAAGAAGCUCCGGCUAACUUCGUGCCAGCCGCCGCAGUAA